rnacentral:rRNA from 1 species
ACGCACGCUGGCGGCGUGCUUAACACAUGCAAGUCGAACGAAGAGCGACGGAAGCUUGCUUCUAUCAAUCUUAGUGGCGAACGGGUGAGUAACGCGUAAUCAACCUGCCCUUCAGAGGGGGACAACAGUUGGAAACGACUGCUAAUACCGCAUACGAUCUAAUCUCGGCAUCGAGGAUGGAUGAAAGGUGGCCUCUACAUGUAAGCUAUCACUGAAGGCGGGGAUUGCGUCUGAUUAGCUAGUUGGAGGGGUAACGGCCCACCAAGGCGAUGAUCAGUAGCCGGUCUGAGAGGAUGAACGGCCACAUUGGGACUGAGACACGGCCCAGACUCCUACGGGAGGCAGCAGUGGGGAAUCUUCCGCAAUGGACGAAAGUCUGACGGAGCAACGCCGCGUGAGUGAUGACGGCCUUCGGGUUGUAAAGCUCUGUUAAUCGGGACGAAAGGCCUUCUUGCGAAUAGGGAGAAGGAUUGACGGUACCGGAAUAGAAAGCCACGGCUAACUACGUG